AUUUAGAAAUCACAAAUCUAUCAAAAAUUUUCUAGAAACGAGAAGAUUAGCAUGGCCCUUGCGCAAGGAUGACAUGCAAAUUUGUGAAGCGUUCCAUAUUUAA